CACGUAGGGCGCAAGCGUUGUCCGGAAUUAUUGGGCGUAAAGAGCUCGUAGGCGGUCUGUUGCGUCCGCUGUGAAAACUCGGGGCUUAACCCCGAGCUUGCAGUGGAUACGGGCAGACUAGAGGUAGGUAGGGGAGAAUGGAAUUCCCGGUGUAGCGGUGAAAUGCGCAGAUAUCGGGAGGAACACCGGUGGCGAAGGCAGCCUCCUGGGCCAGCACUGACGCUCAUGCACGAAAGCGUGGGGAGCAAACAGG
rnacentral:rRNA from 1 species